rnacentral:lncRNA from 1 species
AACUAGUUCAUAUAUAUUUAUUUAGUGUCCGUUUCUCUCAUUCCCAUCCCUUAUGCAUUUGUUGAUCAAAGUAAAAGAGCAUUUUCUUUUGUCACUCUGUACCGUCGCAAAAUGAGCUAUCCAUACUACUCUCCUCCGCCACCACCUCCGUCUUACGACUUUGCCUCUCCGCCGCCGCUGCCGCCGCCAACUCCAGCAUGUGAUUUUGGCAUUCCACCUCCUCCGCCUAGCCCCCAUAAUGUUCACCCACCAAAACCAUCGCCGGGGUCAUGGUCGUCACCUCCACCGCCACACUCUCCCCACCAUUCCCACCCAAAACCACCUCCACCGCACUACCACCCGGUACCGCCCCCGCCAUCACAGAAUCAUCAUGUCUAUAAGAGCCCUCCCCCUCCUCAAUACCACAACCAUCCAACGUCCGCCCCACCACCAUGCGAUGAUCACCGCCCUAUUC